CGAUAACGAACGAGACCUUAACCUGCUAAAUAGCCAGGCUAGCUUUGGCUGGUCGCCGGCUUCUUAGAGGGACUAUCGGCUCAAGCCGAUGGAAGUUUGAGGCAAUAACAGGUCUGUGAUGCCCUUAGAUGUUCUGGGCUGCACGCGCGCUACACUGACGAAGCCAGCGAGUUUACAACCUUGGCCGGAAGGUCUGGGUAAUCUUGUGAAACUUCGUCGUGCUGGGGAUAGACCAUUGCAAUCAUUGGUCUUCAACGAGGAAUUCCUAGUAAGCGUGAGUCAUCAGCUCGCGUUGAUUACGCCCCUGCCCUUUGUACACACCGCCCGUCGCUACUACCGAUUGAAUGGCU
rnacentral:rRNA from 1 species